rnacentral:lncRNA from 1 species
GCGGGACAGACGGACAAACGGACGCAUGGACGGAAACUCAGACGAACGAACGGACGGACGCACAGACCAGAAAACAUAAUGCCCCUCUACUAUUGUAGGUGGGGCAUACAAAUUAAUUGUAAUGUUACUCAACAGUUCUUUUGAAAUAUUUAAGACUUGUAAUCCCACAUGCAUUUAUCUCAUUGGUCUGAGGAUGUUUGUUCGUGCUGACUGAUGACAUUUGUUCAUAUUGACUUAACACUUCAUAAUUAACACAUAUUGAAGGGCGAGGACAACUGUUAUUUAAAAAACUUGUAAAUCUAAGAUAAGCCAAGGUUAAAAAUGAUUUCUUUAUGAGUAAACAAGCUGCUUUAUCUCAGUAGAUUUCUGUUUAUAAAUUAUUUUUUUUUGUGUUCUGAUAAACUGUUGAUUCCUUUAUUUUCAUGGGUAUCAAUUUUUUGUGGAUAGGGGAAAUCUUGAAUUUUUGCGGAUAUUUGAUUUCAUGGUUUUGUUAA